rnacentral:rRNA from 1 species
AGAAGGCCUUUUGGUUGUAAAGCACUUUAAGCAGUGAAGAAGACUCUUCGGUUAAUACCCGGAGACGAUGACAUUAGCUGCAGAAUAAGCACCGGCUAACUCUGUGCCAGCAGCCGCGGUAAUACAGAGGGUGCAAGCGUUAAUCGGAAUUACUGGGCGUAAAGGGAGCGUAGGUGGCUCUAUAAGUCAGAUGUGAAAUCCCCGGGCUUAACCUGGGAACUGCAUCUGAAACUGUAGAGCUAGAGUAUGUGAGAGGGAGGUAGAAUUUCAGGUGUAGCGGUGAAAUGCGUAGAGAUCUGAAGGAAUACCGAUGGCGAAGGCAGCCUCCUGGCAUAAUACUGACACUGAGGCUCGAAAGCGUGGGUAGCAAACAGGAUUAGAUACCCUGGUAGUCCACGCCGUAAACGAUGUCUACUAGUCGUUGGGUCCCUUGAGGACUUAGUGACGCAGCUAACGCAAUAAGUAGACCGCCUGGGGAGUACGGCCGCAAGGUUAAAACUCAAAUGAAUUGACGGGGGCCCGCACAAGCGGUGGAGCAUGUGGUUUAAUUCGAUGCAACGCGAAGAACCUUACCUGGUCUUGACAUAUCUAGAAUCCUGCAGAGAUGCGGGAGUGCCUUCGGGAAUUAGAAUACAGGUGCUGCAUGGCUGUCGUCAGCUCGUGUCGUGAGAUGUUGGGUUAAGUCCCGCAACGAGCGCAACCCUUGUCCUUAGUUACCAGCGGGUUAAGCCGGGAACUCUAAGGAUACUGCCAGUGACAAACUGGAGGAAGGCGGGGACGACGUCAAGUCAUCAUGGCCC